rnacentral:rRNA from 1 species
CCCUUAGAUGUCCGGGGCCGCACGCGCGCUACACUGAAGGAAUCAGCGUGGCUUUCUCCCUGACCCGAAAGGGUUGGGAAACCCGUUGAAUCUCCUUCGUGAUAGGGAUUGGGGCUUGAAAUUGUUCCCCAUGAACGAGGAAUUCCCAGUAAGCGCGAGUCAUAAGCUCGCGUUGAUUACGUCCCUGCCCUUUGUACACACCGCCCGUCGCUACUACCGAUUGAAUGGUUCGGUGAAGAUCUCGGACUUCGAUAUUCAUUCUUUAUUGAGUUUAUAUUGUGGGAAGUUAUCUAAACCUCAUCAUUUAGAGGAAGGUGAAGUCGUAACA